GGAAGUCCUGAUUUUUUAUCGACUUCCGACAUAUCAAUGAAGUGACGCAUAUCCCUUGUCACGAAUCUUUGCAACACUCGAUAAGUUGCGAGGAGUUUGGUAUCUUUCAAUACUGGACCUAAAAAACAAAUAUUGGUCGUUCGGACUGCACUUUGUCCUUGUAACGUUCCAAUUCUUGGACACCAGAGCUGGAACUCAACGGUGUUUGCCUGCCUAGACGAUAUCAUCGUUUAUAGCCGGACCUUC